CCACCAUUGAGAUGAGACAUGAGAGCAUGGGACAGAGUGAGAAUGAGGGUGUCAUGAAAACCAUAAUUUUCUUUUGUGACUUUGUGUUUCAGUUUCCAGUUUUAUAGUUGUUUUUUUGUUUCAGUUAUAGUACACUAUUAUUUCCAUAUCUGCCCAUUGCUUGUCUUCUUCCCUGUGAUCCUGCAGGGAGCUGAGCUAGCUAGGUUUGUUCGGAAGCCCUUGCAAUCUGUGAUUUUGCUUUGUAAGCCACACAGAACCAAAUAAAAACCAGUACGAAUUUCUGGGUUUUCACAACCUUUCUAGUUAAUUUCUUCCCCUCCCUGGUUUUGUAGGGUUUGGUAUGUAGGUUACCAUUUAUAUAUAUUCACAUAUGGUUUCUCAAAAAGUUUAAAAGUGAUUCUUGAAAUGGAAGACUACUAUGGCUGGGGGAACAGAAACAGAGGAAAGAUGACAGCAGAAAAUGAAGAGUUUCAGGAAGAAGAAGUGUGGGCUGUUAAUAAUACUGAAAGGGAAACCUCACCAUCAAAGGUGAUGAUGAGGAAAUCUUCUUCUUCUUGGCAGUUGCCGGUGGCUCCGAGAACAACGGGCCAUGAACGGAGGUGCAGGGCGGAGCAGUCGUCAGCUCCGGUGAGUGUUCCUGACUGGUCCAAGAUUUACUGCAGGAAAAAUAAUGGCUCCAAUAUGAAAGGAGAUAAUAAUAGUGAAGGUGGGGAGGGAGGAGAUGAAGAAGAUGAUGAUGAUAAUGGGGUGGUCCCACCGCACGAGUACAUAGCUAGGAGGCUUGCAAGAACUCAGAUUGCAUCUUUCUCCAUGUGUGAAGGUGUGGGGAGGACCCUGAAAGGAAGAGACCUCAGCAAAUUGAGAAAUGCCAUCCUCACCAAGACCGGCUUCCUCGAAAAAUAGCAUGUGUCCCACAUUGAUUACGGAUGCAAACCCAGACAGAUUUAUAAGGUUCGGGUCAAAUUAGUGCAAGGGUUCUUAGUCUUUCUUUAUUAUUCAAUGCCAUCCCGGCCCAGAAACCAGAUAAGUCCUAGACCAUAUCAUGUGGCCAUUUUUGAGCUGUUUUCUCAGGAGAGAAAAACCAAACCUACGGCGUAUUAUGUAGAGCACUAUGUGAGGUUUUUUGUCUGUUGUGUUUGUGUCUUAAUGGUUGUUCGUUCCUCUAUCUGCUUUCUUGAUUAUAUUUUGGAGUUAUCCACUCCCAUUUUCAUUGUUG